rnacentral:lncRNA from 1 species
GUCAAGGGGCCCCUGUCAUCGAGCCUAGUGGCCCAGAGCUGGUUGUAGAGCCAGGUGCAACAGUGACCCUGCGAUGUGUGAGCAAUGGCAGUGUGGAAUGGGAUGGCCCCAUCUCUCCCUACUGGACCUUGGACUCUGAAUCUCCUGGAAGCAUCCUGAUCACAAAAAACGCCACCUUCAAAAACACUGGGACCUACCGUUGUACUGAGCUUGAAGACCCUAUGCGGGGCAGUACCGCCAUCCACUUGUACGUCAAAGGUGAGAACUCUAAACUCGCCAUAUUGGGCAGAAGGGCUAGCCACUGGCAUUGGUCAUGACUAAGCACCUACAGCAGUGCUAAUGCUCGUGAGGUAAAUUCUAUGAUUACCUCCAUUCUCCAGAGCCUUGGUGGGCUUGAAUCUUUUACCCAUGAUCACGUAGCAACAAGUGCCUUAGAAGCACCUGAUUCCAGAGGCCAACCGUUCUCUGAACGGUCCAGUACAGUGUGACUUGGGGCAAAUGCCCAGGCUUUUGAUCCUCCCGUCACUAAUGUUCAGUUGUCACCUUGACCCCUCCUCUUCCCAGAUCCUGUCCGGCCCUGGAAUUUGCUAGCACAGGAGGUGACAGUGUUUGAGGGCCAGGAAGCUGUGCUGCCCUGUCUGAUCACUGACCCCACACUGAAGGACAGUGUCUCACUGGUGAGGGAGUGGGGCAGACCAGUCUCACGCAAAACGGUCUACUCCUUCUUACCAUGGCG